GUACUACUCCUUCCGUCCGGAAAUACUUGUCAAAAAAAAAUGAAUGUAUCUAGAUGUAUUUUAGUUCUACAUACAUUCAUUUUUAUGCAUUUCUCCGACAAGUAUUUCCGGACGGAGGGAGUACUUU
rfam:Triticum aestivum genome assembly, contig: Triticum_aestivum_CS42_TGACv1_scaffold_093855_2AL